GGACCCAGAACGUGGGCUGUGGUUAAUGUGCAAAGUCAUGAGGAUAAGAUGCUGCCCCCACCCUGACACCCCAACACCAGGGGGUUCAGCGCCAGAGCCCAAUUGGACUGUCUAUAAUGGGCUGAACCAAACCCUCCCCCCGAGGGUGAUCAGAUGUCCCGAUUUUAUAGGGACAAUCCCGAUAUUCGGGGCUUUGUCUUUUAUAGGUGCCUAUUACCUCCCACCCCUGUCCCACCAGGUGGGAGUCAAGCUCAAGGAGCCCCAUGGAGCUUAGAGAGCAUCAUAUUUUGAACAUCUGCACAACAUAUUGUGAGCACUGUCACAUUUUGUCUGCUCAUAUAAGCAGAGUUUAAUUAGUAGGCAGAGUUUGGAAUAGUACCUCCACUUUUUUCACUCUAGGCUGAUCCCCCGUUGGAGACUGACUGGGAGAUAAAGAAAGUAACCCCUUCAACUUCGGAUCCUUAGCCCAAGAGAAUGUGCUACAGAACAAUGGCUCUAGGGCUGGCAGUGUGAAUAGAAGGACCAAAGCACCACCAUUUCCUGAAUCACCAACAAAACUACCCACAGCAUAUAGGACAUCUCGCAGACAGUACAGAGCCUGAUUUGUUUGUAAGAGCCAAUAAAAGCCCAAGCUACAGCGAUAUAGCUGCAAGCCACUUACUGUGGGAGAGAAAGAUGUCACAUUAAUGCACUCCUAAAGAGCUUUUCAUCCCUUGAUCUCAAAGCACUUUGCAAUGGUGGAUAAAUAGGAUCAUCCCCAUUUCAUGGAUAUGGAAACUGAGGUACAGAGAGGUGAAACGAUUUGUCCAGGAUCAAACAGCACAUCAGUGGCAGAGUCAAGAUGAGAAGAACUAAGACAACCUGAUUCUCAGACCUCUGCACACUAUGUCAGAGCUGCCCUCUCGCACACUUGUAACUAGAAUAAGUUGGGCAAGGAUCAAGGACAUCAGACGUUAUCAUCCAAGGUGUAUUGUCUUUGGAAAUACGAAGCCCACUGAUUUCACCAAUAUGAGAGGGAAGGUCUUAGUCACGGAAGGUACUGUACAGCUCAUGUCUAUUGUUUGUGUGGUUUCUGAGGAGGUAUAAAAGAAGCUGGAAGACACACAGUGUUAUUGCAACUGGAACUUCACUAGAGGACUUGCUGUGAGACGGAGCUGUGCUGAUCUGGAUUUGACCGUGUACUGUACUCUUUAGGAUCAACACAGAUACAAAGAAGUCAGAAGAUGGUCUUGUCCCAAAGAUCUCUGCAAAUAGUUACAUUCCUGGUCAUCUUUUUUCUUGCUUGUUUUGCCACAUCUCAAGAAACUGAAAAGUAAGAAAAAUCACUUUUGUAACUAGUGCUGUUCGUCAACUGCUUGCACUUAAUCUAUUGAGCUGCAUUCUCCACUGCCUCGCAUCCUGUGUAGCCAUUUACUUCUGUACAGAAAUGCUACCAAUCUGAUUUGGUAGCAUUUUACAUCCACUUUGCACAGUAGAGAAUCAGGUCCUCUGUAUUUUUAGAUACAUUAAUGUUGUGAUUUGUGUUUAGUUGUUACUUUUAUACUAUACUAAAUGCAGUUUAGGAGACACCUGGUAAUACAGCACAGUAAUCCAGGCAAAGAUGGAUCAACUCAAACAACAAAUUAUGUCAUGGAGAAGAAAACUGCAAGUACCAGAUAUAUCUAUAUUAGAAAAUGGUCUUAAACAACAUUCCAGAUCUGAAUCCUGUUUCAGAGCCAAAUUCACAGCUUGAGCCUGUUGGGAUACUUGACCAAAUCUAAACUCACUGAAAUCUGAGAGCAUUUGGGUGUGUAUCCAGGUUUUCAAUCCCUGCAUUCAAGAGUGUUUCGGAUCAAUAGUUUUGGUCAGGCUCAUUAUAGGGUUGUAGGGGGUGAUUCUCCUUUCACCUACACCAUUGGCUUCAACUGAAUUAUUUCUGAUUUACACCUGUGUAAGCAAAAGAAAAUUUAGGCUCAUAAAGUUGAGAUCUAGAUCUGGAUCUGGGAAUUUGGGGCCCUAUAUUUGGACCACUGGAGAGAGCACAGGAUUGGGGAGUUGGAGAGCUGGGUUUGCAGUUCUGCCUCUGACUCACUCUGUGACCUUGAGAAAGUCGCAUCCCCUCCUUGUGCCUCAGUUUCUCCAUUUCUAAAAGGCCCAGAAUGUUGAUACAGACCUAUCUUGGUAAAACACUCUGGAAUCUCUGUAUGAAAACCAGCCCCACUGGAAAGGUGAGCAUUCUUUGGCUUCCUAACUACUCUCCUUUCACAUUGCAGUAAAAGAGCAGUAGCGGAGCACCAGUUCAUGCAGGAUAAAGGAAGAGCACUUCAAGGGCUGAAGCGGCUGAUGUGGCUCCACAAUGCCAUGGGUAGUGUGCACACAGCCAGGGCCAGAGAUGCCUCACAUUCCAAUUCCUUG